rnacentral:lncRNA from 1 species
GCAUCACUCGCUUAAGAAAAAGGCAAGUUGCAUGCCAGUGAUGGGCAUGGAGAGCUAAGGCAGCGGCCUUCCUGGACAAAGAAUGCAGGCGAAGACCCUGUGCAUAGAGACCAUGGUUUGCCAGUUUUCUGUGUCUUCGGGCAUCCUGCCCAAGCAACUUCUGAAUAUGCUUUACAAGGGUUGUGUCCAUGUCUCCAGCCUCACUUUGUGCCAACUGCUUUCAGAAGUCAAGCCCCUCUGGACCCAGUUCACAGGUAUAAAAAUUCCAUUUCUUGGGUCUCCUCCACACUUACUGCACCUGUAAGCCCUGCAGAGGGGAAGUAAGGUUGACCCCAAGCAUCAUGCCAGACUUCUCAAGGUUGAUGGCUACGAGAAGUCCCCUAUGAAUUCCACGGCCUGAAAAGGGGCUCCAGGCACCUGCAGAGGGACGGGGCUUCUGAGGGGUGGAAACACCUGCUGUGGGUCGGGCUGGAGGAAAGUUCUCAACAGCUCAACACCUUUGGUUAAAACUUUAUGAUCUUCUGGGGCCCCUGGGUGGCUGUCAGUUGAUAGUCCGACUCUUGGUUUUGGCUCAGGUUAUGAUCCCAGGGUCAUGAGAUUGAGCCCCAAGUCUGGCUGCACGCUGAGCAUGCAGCCUGCUUAAGAUUCUUUCUCUCCUUCUCCCUGCCCCUCCCCCUUCCCUCUCUAAAACAAAAACAAAAACAUUUAUGAUCUUUUAAGGUCGUGGUCUUCUGCCGCCUUUUCCAAGAAGCAUCCAGCAUCUACUUUCCAUGCCUGCCUUUCCUUCCCUGAGCUCCAAGAGUCUUUGCUCAGGUGCACUUGCUGGCGUUUGUCUAACUCUGCUGCACCGUGUGGUCAGACUUUUCUGGACAGCCAGCUACUUACGACAGGGACUACGCUCUUCGUGCAAACUGCCUUUUCAUUCACUCACUGAGCGUGUGUGUGUGUGUGUGUGUGCAGGGUUACAUU